AUCUGAAACUGAACCCUUUGUUGCCUAGCAACAGCAAAUGCCUGUUGAUGUUCUUUGAACUCCUCUGAUGUAAUCUGCCGCUCUCAGACCCAACUGUAGCAUCUUUUACUUCAUAGAGCCAGAAGGUAAACUGGUGUGAGAUGGAGAACAGAGACUUCGCUCCGGACAAAGACAAACCUUUGGAUUUGUUUCAACUCCUGAUGGAGCGGCUGGAGAGCUGCCAGGUUAGAGGCUCAGAAGCAGCAGCUGGUCAGCCUGGAGCAGCAGAUCCUGAAGAACAAGCCUCUGAAGGAGGAGCUGAUGCAGCGUAAGGUUCAGUUCAGCUCUACGGUCCACACAAUUGAAGAGCAGAAGAAGUUCAUGGAGGAGAAGAUGGUGACGAUAGAGAGCAGCAUUCAGCAGAUGGCCAAACCCAGACCUGGAGACCUGGACCUCCUGCUCCCUCCGUCAGCAGCAGGUUGAAAAGCAUCUAUUCAACAGUUUAGACUCGUCGUUCUUUGAUGGCUGCUAGUUUGUUAGGAAAUGAAUGAAAUGAUGAGGAGAACUUUGGUUUCAGUCAGAACAGGAAAUCUCCUGCACGGUUUGUUCUCCCUUUUUCUCAUGUUGCUGCAUCAAUGUUUAACUUUGGCCACAGCUGGAUUGUUGAUAGAAUCUGUAGAAGAAAAAGCUCAAAGUUAGCACUACUGUUUGGACCGGCAGCAGAACCAGAACCAUCUCCAUCCUUCCUGCUCUGUAGA